rnacentral:rRNA from 1 species
GACGAACGCUGGCGGCGUGCCUAAUACAUGCAAGUUGAGCGCUGAAGGUUGGUACUUGUACCCACUGGAUGAGCAGCGAACGGGUGAGUAACGCGUGGGGAAUCUGCCUUUGAGCGGGGGACAACAUUUGGAAACGAAUGCUAAUACCGCAUAAAAACUUUAAACACAAGUUUUAAGUUUGAAAGAUGCAAUUGCAUCACUCAAAGAUGAUCCCGCGUUGUAUUAGCUAGUUGGUGAGGUAAAGGCUCACCAAGGCGAUGAUACAUAGCCGACCUGAGAGGGUGAUCGGCCACAUUGGGACGGAGACACGGCCCAAACGCCUACGGGAGGCAGCAGUAGGGAAUCUUCGGCAAUGGAAGAAAGUCUGACCGAGCAACGCCGCGUGAGUGAAGAAGGUUGUCGGAUCGUAAAACUCUGUUGGUAGAGAAGAACGUUGGUGAGAGUGGAAAGCUCAUCAAGUGACGGUAACUACCCAGAAAGGGACGGCUAACUACGUG